AGGCGGCGGGCGUCGAGGCUCCCCUUUGGGUUGCGGAAACCCAACAGGUGGAGCCUCCCUGUUCCUUUGGCGGAGCAGCGACCGGGGAAGGCUGCGCCUGCAGCAUCUCUGCGGCCUGCAGCCUCGUAAGGGGCCCGGCGGUUCCGCUAGCAGGAGCCAAAGGCUCAAGAUCAGUUGUCAGGCGCAGCCUCGUAGCUUGAAAGCUCCGUGUCAAGUUCUGGUGCAGGCAUCGGUCGCGCGCGACCACGUCCGUGGGUUUGAUUUCGUUAUUCACGGCCGCAGUCCUGUACCUACUUGCUUCCGAGUAGACAUAUAUAGGGAUUGCGCUGUAAGCGAGAAUCCUCUGCUCAUCGAGGGGGUAGGGGAGACUGCAUUGGAGUCAAUGGAUUGACUUUUGAGUAGGCACGUGUAAGUUUGUGCUGCUAUUUAAAAUCAAUUCAAUAUGCAGCGCUUUCCAAUUCCAUUUGUUUUGGCAAGCCAUUACCCAGCCCUGUGCGCACCUAUCCCAUCUGCCUUCCUUGCUUCUAGCUGUCCGUUUACAAUCCCUUUUCUGCCUGUCAAAUCUGCAGCAUGAAAUGUUGCUUUAAAUUCUGCCGGCUAUUCUGCCGGCUGGAGUCCUUCAAACUGCGGAGCAGAAGUAGAGAAAAGAAGCAGGACUAGUCCCAUCAACUCUGCUGAGAGGCUAGCUUUUUUUCUGGCCCUCCCUUUAACUGCCAUCUAGUGACAGUCAUUGCAUUGACUGCCCUGUUUUCGUUCCAGCAAGUCCUUAUAAGAAUUGUAGCUAGUGCUCAAGCUUUCUGUUUUCCUCCACCCUCCGCAUUUCCUUAUCCUUGCGUGCCCCAAUGCUGAUUCCGUGGUGUCCGUGUCACCCAACUCCCUCCCCCAUUACUCUGUUUACCAUCCAGGUCCUGCUUCAAACUCCCAAGUAUUUUUUGCUUGAUUGGAAUUUCUCUUGCUUGUCUGGAUGGACAAGAGGGAGGGUGUGUAGAAACCAGCCUAUGGUACAAUGGCAAAAUUUACAUUUGAUGUUCUGUCCACUUCUGCUGCUAGGGCUGCUUACCACUGGUGCAUGGCUCUCUGGAGAAUGUCCAGGAGACUACAGCUGUCUGGCUGAAAAGAUUCCCCACCUAGCCGGAUAAAAGAACUUGAAAGCUUGCACAUUAUUUUGGUUGCCUGAAGGUGUUACCCUAAUAUGGUUUUGUUUUGUUUUUUGCAUUUUGAUCUUGUCUUUUAACUUGGCAAACCUGAGAGCAGUGACUAUAUUACUUAUUAUCUGUAAGUUGUUCCAAGAUCCUUUUUUAAAGUGCAUUGUAAAAAAAUAUUUAAAUAAUUAUUACUUGAUUUGAGGAGACAGUAGUACCGAAUUUCCCAAAGUCUGAUUCUAGCAAACCUGUAUUUACAAAAAACCAAACAAAAAAAAAACCAAACCCACAAUUGGAUUGACACAUGGAAUCCUUGCUUUUAACUUCUCCUGUUGGUCUAUCUUCCUAGCCCUAAUGUUUUCUUUAAUACAACAACAACCCAGAAUUCAGUCCCAAAAAACAAGGACAGAGCAAAUUAGCUUUUUUAGGCAGUGGUCAUGUUGCCAAGAGGAUGUGUUAUUUACAUGUUUACAACUGAAUUCUACUUCCACUACUUUUGUCCUGCACAUGGAAGAUUGUAAUCAGAACAGGAAGAGAAGGCUGGGUGGAACUUUUAAUUAUUAUUUCUCUUUGUUAUGAGUGCUUGCUCACUACAGUAAUUGAAAUUGUAUGCCCUAACCUUGCUGUCACUGGAAAAGAGAUUUGCAUUUCCUACCUAAGGUUCAUAAAGGGAUCUAUUGUAGGGAAAGGAAAUGCAGGAUUGAUAUGGUGCAAAUAGUUAAAUUAAAAACUGUUCAACAAUGCAAUCCUAGCCAUGUCUACUCAGAAAUAAGUCCUAUUGAAUCCAGUGGCCUGACAAGUAUAUACAGAAUUCAACUUAAGCCCCGUGCUAAUUUCUGUAACAUCUGGAGCAGGGGUGGUGAUGAGACUGCUCUAGCAAACGUUGGCAGUAUUGCUUAUGUUCCUUCUGUCUAACAUGGAUGUUUGUGUGCCCCCCCCCCCCCGUAUUUAUAUUAGUGUGGCCUACUCAUGGAAGUAGAGAGCAAAAUGAUAUAAGGAAUGUUGCGUUUAAACCACUAUCCAAGAAACUAGAAUUUGGCAAAUUAAGGAUUUCUGUAAACAAAGGCUUUUAUAAACAAAUCCCACUGUGCAGUGUUGUCAUUUGCAGUUGCAUCUAAGGACUGAUAUGGCAAGAAGAGGGCCCAGAAAUCUGUCCACUGUUAAGAGACUGUGUACAAAUAUUUUGUGUUUUCUGAAUGACUUUCCAGGGUCAAAAAAUGUAUUUUCUAAACAAUCAGAUGUUUCUCAGAAAACAAUUUCAGGAGCUUCCCACCCCAGGCCCACUAAAGGAAUUCACUGCAGAGUUUGUUACUUUGAAGAUUAGAAUAAAAACAUAUCCUAUUGGC
rnacentral:lncRNA from 1 species